rnacentral:rRNA from 1 species
CAUGUGGCUUAAUUCGAGGCAACGCGAAGAACCUUACCUGGGCUUGACAUGUUCAGGACCGUCCGUGAAAGCGGACUUCCCUUCGGGGGCCUCGAGUCACAGAUGCUGCAUGGCUGUCGUCAGCUCGUGCCGUGAGGUGUUCGGUUAAGUCCGGCAACGAGCGCAACCCGUAUCGUCAGUUACCAUCGGGUCAUGCCGGGGACUCUGGCGGGACUGCCCGUGUCAAGCGGGAGGAAGGCGCGGAUGACGUCAAGUCAGUAUGGCUCUUACGCCCAGGGCUGCACACGUGCUACAAUGGCCGGUACAGUGGGAAGCGACACCGCGAGGUGGAGCCAAUCCCCAAAACCGGCCCCAGUUCAGAUUGCAGUCUGCAACUCGACUGCAUGAAGUCGGAAUCGCUAGUAAAGGCGUAUCAGCAACGACGCCUUGAAUACGUUCCCGGGCCUU